rnacentral:rRNA from 1 species
GAUGAACGCUGGCGGCGUGCCUAAUACAUGCAAGUCGAGCGAACAGACGAGGAGCUUGCUCCUCUGACGUUAGCGGCGGACGGGUGAGUAACACGUGGAUAACCUACCUAUAAGACUGGGAUAACUUCGGGAAACCGGAGCUAAUACCGGAUAACAUGUUGAACCGCAUGGUUCAACAGUGAAAGACGGUCUUGCUGUCACUUAUAGAUGGAUCCGCGCCGCAUUAGCUAGUUGGUAAGGUGACGGCUUACCAAGGCAACGAUGCGUAGCCGACCUGAGAGGGUGAUCGGCCACACUGGAACUGAGACACGGUCCAGACUCCUACGGGAGGCAGCAGUAGGGAAUCUUCCGCAAUGGGCGAAAGCCUGACGGAGCAACGCCGCGUGAGUGAUGAAGGUCUUCGGAUCGUAAAACUCUGUUAUUAGGGAAGAACAAAUGUGUAAGUAACUAUGCACGUCUCGACGGUACCUAAUCAGAAAGCCACGGCUAACUACGUG